rnacentral:tRNA from 1 species
GCCCCAUUGGCGGAAUUGGUAGACGCGCUCGACUCGAAAUCGAGUUCCGAAAGGAGUGCUGGUUCGACUCCGGCAUGGGGCACCA